rnacentral:rRNA from 1 species
GACUAAGCCAUGCAUGUUGUGCGCCUCCAAACCACGUUGGAGGAGCAGCAUACGGCUCAGUAAAACAUGACUAACCUGCCCUGGGGAUCAGAAUACCCACGGGAAACUGUGGAUAAUUCUGGAUGGGUGAGGGUGCCUGGAAGGGCUCCUUAUUGAAAGGGUGUGUGAGCCAUGUUCUCAUACAUUGUCCCAGGAUGGGGUCAUGUCCGAUCAGGCUGUUGGUGAGGUAAUGGCUCACCAAACCAGUAACCGGUACGGGCCGUGAGAGCGGAAGCCCGGAGAUGGAUCCUGAGACAAGGAUCCAGGCCCUACGGGGCGCAGCAGGCGCGAAACCUCCGCAAUGCGCGAAAGCGUGACGGGGUUAUCCCGAGUGUCGCCUGCUGAAGGCGACUUUUCCCCAGUCUACAAAGCUGGGGGUAAUAAGGGGAGGGCAAGUCUGGUGUCAGCCGCCGCGGUAAUACCAGCUCCCCGAGUGGUGAGGAGGAUCAUUGGGCCUAAAGCGUCCGUAGCCGGCUUAGUAAGUCUCCCGUCAAAUCCGACGAUCCCAAUCGCCGGGCUGCGGGAGAUACUGCUGAGCUAGGAGGCGGGAGAGGCCGGCGGUACUUCUGGGGUAGGGGUGAAAUCCUAUAAUCCCGGAAGGACCACCAGUGGCGAAGGCGGCCGGCCAGAACGCGCUCGACGGUGAGGGACGAAAGCUGGGGGAGCGAACCGGAUUAGAUACCCGGGUAGUCCCAGCUGUAAACGAUGCGGGCUAAGUGUCGGAAUGGCUAUUGUGCCAUUUCGGUGCUGCAGGGAAGCCGUUAAGCCCGCCGCCUGGGGAGUACGGCCGCAAGGCUGAAACUUAAAGGAAUUGGCGGGGGAGCACCACAAGGGGUGAAGCUUGCGGUUUAAUUGGAGUCAACGCCGGGAACCUCACCGGGAGUGACAGCUGAAUGAAAGCCAGAUUAAAGGUCUUGCUGGACUAGCUGAGAGGAGGUGCAUGGCCGUCGUCAGUUCGUGCCGUGAGGUAUCCCGUUAAGUCGGGAAACGAGCGAGACCCACACCUCUAGUUGCCAGCGGGUUCGAAAGGACGCCGGGCACUCUAGAGGGACCGCCGCCGAUAAGGCGGAGGAAGGAGUGGGCCACGGCAGGUCAGUAUGCCCCGGAUCUCCCGGGCCACACGUGAGCUGCAAUGGUAGGGACAAUGCGUUUCGACCUCGAAAGGGGAAGGUAAUCGCGAAACCCUACCUCAGUUGGGAUCGAGGGCUGCAACCCGUCCUCGUGAACAUGGAAUCCCUAGUAAUCGCGUGUCAUCAGCGCGCGGUGAAUACGUCCCUGCUCCU